AUCAGGCUGUGUCUUACCAUUCUGGAUCCUUUUGAAAGAUUACAUUUUACCUCUGACAUAUUUUCUAUCUAACUCAAGUCUUUUGCAAUUUGUAAGGUACUAAUGGUCAUCAAGGUCCCACCCAUUUACAGCCUUCAUUCCUGCACUAACAUACACACAAAGUUUUCAUGCAGACAAAACAAUAUUGUGGGAAUUAAAACGUUCAGUAACCUCAGAGAUGGAUGGCCUUACAGUGGCCAUGACCUCAAGAUUUUCCUGGGGCCCAAGUGUAAGUAUGUAGACCCUAAGAUUCACAUUGGGAGCUUCACUCUUGGGUGAUUCUCCCAUAAGAACCUAAGAGCCAAGGCAACCUCUCACCUAGGUAUUAAUUCUCUGCAAAGGAGAGUAGAUGUGCAGCAUGAAUUGCUUUGCUGCAAAAUUGAUAAAGGAGAAAGAAUAAUAUGGUGGCAGAAUUGCUAUAUUUUCAUUUACUUUUAUGUGGUUUAAGGAGGAGAUUCCUUGCUUGUUAGAAUGUCACACAAACCAAAGACCACAGCUUUAAGCCAAAACUUGAGCAAAAUUACAUUUUAUAAAGUGCUUCUCUUCUCUGUAGACUAUUAAAUAUCAGGUAUCAGUUCUUUCUUCAGAAGACAUAUGUAAAAUGAAUUAUAAAAUCAGUUGUACUACUUUGUCUCCAUGAAUUUUCAGGGUCUAAUGUAUAAUUUAACCAAAAUAGCAUCCAUCUUCUGGAAAAAUAUUGCUGAGAUUUAUUUCCUUUUUGUUUCUCAGACUUUCCAUGAAGGUAUAUAAUAGAUUUGGGACUAUUGUUUAACAAGUUACUUGAAUGUCACUGGAAGAAUCAGAUCAGAUGUUCAGGAGGUGCUCAAUGAAUACUCAGGCAAAUCACUGACUCUUUCUAAGCCUUAGCUCCCUCAUCAAUGAGUGGAAUUAAUAACCACAUCAUAAAGUUAUUAGAGAAUUAAAUGAGAUACUGCUUUGUAUGCUGCCUGGUACAAAGGUUGCUAUUACUGUUUGCAUAUCUGAUCCUAUAAGCCUUUGUAGGUUACAGGGCUUUUGUACCUUCAACAUGUUCAUAUAAAUAUAAGACUAUGCAUUUUAUAUUUCAGUUCCAAAAAUGGGGUAACAGUUGAGUAAAAAAACAUGAAGAUGGGCUUAGAGACAAAUUGGAAGCUGUAAGUGAACACAGCCAUCCAACUAUGAGAAACAGUUCUGACACUUUUCAAGCCUUACCUCGCCCUCCCCCCAUUCUGUCUCAGAUCCGGGCAAGCUGUUAAGAAGGCCCAGGUGCUGUGCCACAAGCAAUUCCAGACUUCUGUGGAUUCCCUCUUGUUCGGUAAAGUCUUACCACGGCAUCAUGGAGAUCCUUAGGAUAUCUUCCAGUGAACCAGAACAUCCAGAGAAUGACUCUGAGUGAGCAGCUACUGGCCCUCUUC